ACUGAACUGCCAAUCAUUUCAUUGUUUGGGAUUCUCCAAAUGUCUGGGCCCUGCUAACAGUCAUCCUGUGAUAGAUACAUGGAAACAUCAGCAAAGGAAGAUGCAUGUUUAACCUUCUGAAGUUUUGGAAUACAUAAUUCAGCUAAAAUAAAGCUUACGUGGGUUUAUGCUUCAACCAGGGAGCAGAGAGCGUUUCUCUGAUUCACGAAGCCCUGAGGCGAAAGCUUAUGGUGAAGAUGGAAUAUUCCGCCCUUCGUAUACAAGGCAAUUCUCCUGGCCCACUGUCAAUGGAACUUCCGCUUGAAAAGCUCACUGUCCCGAAUGAAGCAGCACCUAUGACCUUCGACCUCACUGGUCAAGCAAACAACUAUCAAUCACCUGUUUGUAUCUUUUAAUCACUGUACAAGGCCCAGUGAGGAGUGCAAAAAAGCAUCCGCCGUGAUCCUUGCCUUCAAAAAUCUUACAUUAACAGGACGUUCUCGUCUAGCGGCUUCCAGACUUUUUAAAUUGAGAACCCCUGUUGGUAAAAAACAAAUUUGAACAUGUACCCCCAAUGUAUGUAUGUUCAUGUACAAGUUUAUAUGUGAACUAUUCUCAAAACAUACUUAAAGAUUUGUAAAGAUUGU